UUGACUGAAGCUAAAAAGAAGCGAACCACUGUUGAUGGUUUAAUUGGGUUACCUUGUCGUU
rnacentral:tRNA from 1 species